rnacentral:rRNA from 1 species
AGAGUUUGAUCCUGGCUCAGGAUGAACGCUAGCGGCAGGCUUAAUACAUGCAAGUCGUGGGGCAGCAGGGGUAGCAAUACCCGCUGGCGACCGGCAAACGGGUGCGGAACACGUACGCAACCUUCCUUUAACUGGAGAAUAGCCCCUCGAAAGAGGGAUUAAUACUCCGUAACAUAUACAUGUGGCAUCACAAGUAUAUUAUAGCUCCGGCGGUUAAAGAUGGGCGUGCGCCUGAUUAGAUAGUUGGCGGGGUAACGGCCCACCAAGUCUGCGAUCAGUAACUGGUGUGAGAGCACGACCAGUCACACGGGCACUGAGACACGGGCCCGACUCCUACGGGAGGCAGCAGUAAGGAAUAUUGGUCAAUGGACGCAAGUCUGAACCAGCCAUGCCGCGUGGAGGAUUAAGGCCCUCUGGGUUGUAAACUCCUUUUAUCUGGGAAGAAAUCCGGGAAUUCUUUUCCGGUUGACGGUACCAGAGGAAUAAGCACCGGCUAACUCCGUGCCAGCAGCCGCGGUA